rnacentral:rRNA from 1 species
UACAGAGGGGCAAGCGUUGUUCGGAAUUACUGGGCGUAAAGGGCGCGUAGGCGCCCUUCUAAGUCGAACGUGAAAUCCCCGGGCUCAACCCGGGAACUGCGUCCGAUACUGGAAGGCUUGAAUCCGGGAGAGGGAUGUGGAAUUCCAGGUGUAGCGGUGAAAUGCGUAGAGAUGUGGAGGAACACCGAUGGCGAAGGCAGCCCCCUGGGACCUGACUGACGCUCAUGCACGAAAGCGUGGGGAGCAAACAGG